rnacentral:tRNA from 1 species
GGGGGCAUAGCUCAGUGAAAGAGUAUCCCACUGCAGAUCGGAAUGUCCCCGGUUCAACCCCGGGUGCCCCCU